rnacentral:rRNA from 1 species
AGAGUUUGAUCAUGGCUCAGAUUGAACGCUGGCGGCAGGCCUAACACAUGCAAGUCGAGCGGCAGCGGGAAGUAGUUUACUACUUUGCCGGCGAGCGGCGGACGGGUGAGUAAUGUCUGGGGAUCUGCCUGAUGGAGGGGGAUAACUACUGGAAACGGUAGCUAAUACCGCAUGACCUCGCAAGAGCAAAGUGGGGGACCUUAGGGCCUCACGCCAUCGGAUGAACCCAGAUGGGAUUAGCUAGUAGGUGGGGUAAUGGCUCACCUAGGCGACGAUCCCUAGCUGGUCUGAGAGGAUGACCAGCCACACUGGAACUGAGACACGGUCCAGACUCCUACGGGAGGCAGCAGUGGGGAAUAUUGCACAAUGGGCGCAAGCCUGAUGCAGCCAUGCCGCGUGUGUGAAGAAGGCCUUCGGGUUGUAAAGCACUUUCAGCGAGGAGGAAGGGGUUGAGUUUAAUACGCUCAAUCAUUGACGUUACUCGCAGAAGAAGCACCGGCUAACUCCGUGCCAGCAGCCGCGGUAAUACGGAGGGUGCAAGCGUUAAUCGGAAUUACUGGGCGUAAAGCGCACGCAGGCGGUUUGUUAAGUCAGAUGUGAAAUCCCCGCGCUUAACGUGGGAACUGCAUUUGAAACUGGCAAGCUAGAGUCUUGUAGAGGGGGGUAGAAUUCCAGGUGUAGCGGUGAAAUGCGUAGAGAUCUGGAGGAAUACCGGUGGCGAAGGCGGCCCCCUGGACAAAGACUGACGCUCAGGUGCGAAAGCGUGGGGAGCAAACAGGAUUAGAUACCCUGGUAGUCCACGCUGUAAACGAUGUCGACUUGGAGGUUGUGCCCUUGAGGCGUGGCUUCCGGAGCUAACGCGUUAAGUCGACCGCCUGGGGAGUACGGCCGCAAGGUUAAAACUCAAAUGAAUUGACGGGGCCCGCACAAGCGGUGGAGCAUGUGGUUUAAUUCGAUGCAACGCGAAGAACCUUACCUACUCUUGACAUCCACAGAAUUUGGCAGAGAUGCUAAAGUGCCUUCGGGAACUGUGAGACAGGUGCUGCAUGGCUGUCGUCAGCUCGUGUUGUGAAAUGUUGGGUUAAGUCCCGCAACGAGCGCAACCCUUAUCCUUUGUUGCCAGCACGUAAUGGUGGGAACUCAAGGGAGACUGCCGGUGACAAACCGGAGGAAGGUGGGGAUGACGUCAAGUCAUCAUGGCCCUUACGAGUAGGGCUACACACGUGCUACAAUGGCAGAUACAAAGUGAAGCGAACUCGCGAGAGUCAGCGGACCACAUAAAGUCUGUCGUAGUCCGGAUUGGAGUCUGCAACUCGACUCCAUGAAGUCGGAAUCGCUAGUAAUCGUAGAUCAGAAUGCUACGGUGAAUACGUUCCCGGGCCUUGUACACACCGCCCGUCACACCAUGGGAGUGGGUUGCAAAAGAAGUAGGUAGCUUAACCUUCGGGAGGGCGCUUACCACUUUGUGAUUCAUGACUGGGGUGAAGUCGUAACAAGGUAACCGUAGGGGAACCUGCGGUUG